UACGUAGGGAGCGAGCGUUGUCCGGAUUUAUUGGGCGUAAAGAGCGCGCAGGCGGUCGUUCAAGUCGCGUGUGAAAGCCCCCGGCUCAACUGGGGAGGGUCACGCGAUACUGAUCGACUCGAAGGCAGGAGAGGGUAGUGGAAUUCCCGGUGUAGUGGUGAAAUGCGUAGAUAUCGGGAGGAACACCAGUGGCGAAGGCGGUUCUCUGGGCAUUACCUGACGCUGAGGAGCGAAAGCAUGGGGAGCGAACAGG
rnacentral:rRNA from 1 species